rnacentral:rRNA from 1 species
GAUGAACGCUGGCGGCGUGCCUAAUACAUGCAAGUCGAGCGAAUGGAUUAAGAGCUUGCUCUUAUGAAGUUAGCGGCGGACGGGUGAGUAACACGUGGGUAACCUGCCCAUAAGACUGGGAUAACUCCGGGAAACCGGGGCUAAUACCGGAUAACAUUUUGAACCGCAUGGUUCGAAAUUGAGAGGCGGCUUCGGCUGUCACUUAUGGAUGGACCCGCGUCGCAUUAGCUAGUUGGUGAGGUAACGGCUCACCAAGGCAACGAUGCGUAGCCGACCUGAGAGGGUGAUCGGCCACACUGGGACUGAGACACGGCCCAGACUCCUACGGGAGGCAGCAGUAGGGAAUCUUCCGCAAUGGACGAAAGUCUGACGGAGCAACGCCGCGUGAGUGAUGAAGGCUUUCGGGUCGUAAAACUCUGUUGUUAGAGAAGAACAAGUGCUAGUUGAAUAAGCUGGCACCUUGACGGUACCUAACCAGAAAGCCACGGCUAACUACGUGCCAGCCGCCGCGGUAA